rnacentral:rRNA from 1 species
GAUGAACGCUGGCGGCGUGCCUAAUACAUGCGAGUCGAGCGAACGGACGAGAAGCUUGCUUCUCUGAUGUUAGCGGCGGACGGGUGAGUAACACGUGGAUAACCUACCUAUAAGACUGGGAUAACUUCGGGAAACCGGAGCUAAUACCGGAUAAUAUUUUGAACCGCAUGGUUCAAAAGUGAAAGACGGUCUUGCUGUCACUUAUAGAUGGAUCCGCGCUGCAUUAGCUAGUUGGUAAGGUAACGGCUUACCAAGGCAACGAUGCAUAGCCGACCUGAGAGGGUGAUCGGCCACACUGGAACUGAGACACGGUCCAGACCCCUACGGGAGGCAGCAGUAGGGAAUCUUCCGCAAUGGGCGAAAGCCUGACGGAGCAACGCCGCGUGAGUGAUGAAGGUCUUCGGAUCGUAAAACUCUGUUAUUAGGGAAGAACAUAUGUGUAAGUAACUGUGCACAUCUUGACGGUACCUAAUCAGAAAGCCACGGCUAACUACGUG